rnacentral:rRNA from 1 species
GGGGAAUAUUGCGCAAUGGGGGAAACCCUGACGCCGCAAUACCGCGUGAGUGAAGAAGGUUUUCGGAUCGUAAAGCUCUGUUAUUGGGGAAGAAAAAAAGACGGUACCCAAGAAGAAAGUCCCGGCUAACUACGUGCCAGCAGCCGCGGUAAUACGUAGGGGACAAGCGUUGUCCGGAUUUACUGGGCGUAAAGGGCGCGCAGGCGGUUUUUUAAGUCAGAUGUGAAAGGUACCGGCUCAACCGGUGACAUGCAUUUGAAACUGAAAGACUUGAGUAUUGGAGAGGCAAGUGGAAUUCCCGGUGUAGCGGUGAAAUGCGUAGAUAUCGGGAGGAACAUCGGUGGCGAAGGCGGGUAACUGGACUGCAACUGACGCUGAGGCGCGAAAGUGUGGGGAGCAAACA